UACGUAGGGGGCAAGCGUUGUCCGGAAUCAUUGGGCGUAAAGCGCGUGUAGGCGGCCCGGUAAGUCCGCUGUGAAAGUCGGGGGCUCAACCCUUGGAUGCCGGUGGAUACUGCAGGGCUAGAGUCCAGAAGAGGCGAGUGGAAUUCCUGGUGUAGCGGUGAAAUGCGCAGAUAUCAGGAGGAACACCGGUGGCGAAGGCGGUUCUCUGGGAAUGUACUGACGCUGAGGAGCGAAAGUGUGGGGAGCGAACAGG
rnacentral:rRNA from 1 species